AGUGAACGCUGGCGGUAGGCCUAACACAUGCAAGUCGAACGGCAGCACAGUAAGAGCUUGCUCUUACGGGUGGCGAGUGGCGGACGGGUGAGGAAUACAUCGGAAUCUACUUUUUCGUGGGGGAUAACGUAGGGAAACUUACGCUAAUACCGCAUACGACCUACGGGUGAAAGCAGGGGAUCUUCGGACCUUGCGCGAUUGAAUGAGCCGAUGUCGGAUUAGCUAGUUGGCGUGGUAAAGGCCCACCAAGGCGACGAUCCGUAGCUGGUCUGAGAGGAUGAUCAGCCACACUGGAACUGAGACACGGUCCAGACUCCUACGGGAGGCAGCAGUGGGGAAUAUUGGACAAUGGGCGCAAGCCUGAACCAGCCAUACCGCGGGGGUGAAGAAGGCCUUCGGGUUGUAAAGCCCUUUUGUUGGGAAAGAAAAGCAGCAGGUUAAUACCCCGCUGUUCUGACGGUACCCAAAGAAUAAGCGCCGGCUAACUUCGUGC
rnacentral:rRNA from 1 species